rnacentral:rRNA from 1 species
GGGGGUAAAUUAAAAAAAAAAUAAAUAAUAAAAAAAUUUUUAGGGGGUUAGUAUUAAUAAAUAUUUUAAUGGGGGUUAAAGUAUAUUAAUAGAAAAAAUAAAGAUUUUUAUAGUGGAAUAGUAUUGUGAAAGAAGUUUGAAAUAAUUGAAAAUUUAAUUAUUUAAAAAGUAAUUUUAAUUUAGUGUAUCUUGUGUAUCAGAGUUUAUUAAAAAAAAUUUUAGGGGGAAAUUCUCGAAUUUAAGAGAGAUAAUUAGUUAAUAAAGUUAUUGUAAUAUAAAUAUUUUUAAUAAUUAAUUUGAAAUGAAAUGUUAAUCGUUCUUAAAGAUAUCUAGUUUUUUUAGAAAAAAAUUUAAUUUAAAAUUUAAAUAAAUAUAAUUUAAUUUAUUAAUUAAUUAAUUAUAUUAUAAAUUUAAUAUUUCAAGGGAUAAGCUUUGAAUUAAAAAAAUAUAAUUAAAAUAUUUUUUUUUAUUAAAAAUUUUAUUAUUUAUAUUGUAAAAAAAUUAUAGUUUAUUAUAAAUAAUUUUAAUUAAAAUAAAAUUUAAUUUAAUUUAUUUUUAUAUAAAAAAAAAUUAAAAUAAUUUAAUAAUAAUAAUAAUGGUAAAAUUAGUAUAUAAUAAUAAAAAUAAGAUAAAGUAUUAAGAUAAAUAUUAUAAAGGAAUUCGGCAAAUAAAAAUUUAUAUUCACUUGUUUAUCAAAAACAUGUCUUUUUGUAUAUAAUUAAAAGUCUAAUCUGCCCACUGAUUAAAAAUUAAAGGGCUGCAGUAUAUUGACUGUACAAAGGUAGCAUAAUCAAUAGUCAUUUAAUUGAUGACUGGAAUGAAGGAUUGGAUGAAAUAUAAACUGUCUUUAAUAUAAAUUGUAAAAUUUAAUUUUUAAAUUAAAAAGUUUAAAUAGAUUAAAAAGACGAGAAGACCCUAUAGAGUUUUAUAAAUAAUUAAAUUUAAGAAUAAAUUUUAAAUAAAAAUUUUUAAUUUUAGUAUUUAUUUUAUUGGGGUGAUAAAAAAAUAAAAGUAACUUUUUAUAUUAAUAUAACAUAAAUAAGUGAAUUAAUGAUCCAAUUUUAUUGAUUAAAAGAAAAAAUUACCUUAGGGAUAACAGCGUAAUUUAUUUUUUUAGUUCGUAUAAAAAGAUAAGUUUGCGACCUCGAUGUUGGAUUAAGAUAAAAGUUAAGUGCAAAAAUUUAAAUUUUUGAUCUGUUCGAUCAUUAAAAUCUUACAUGAUCUGAGUUCAGACCGGUGUGAGCCAGGUUGGUUUCUAUCUUUUAAAAAAAAAAAUAUUUUAGUACGAAAGGAUUAAAUAUUAAAAUUAAAUUUAUAAAUAGUUAGUGAAUUAAAUAAUUUAAAUUAAAAUUAUAAGUUAAUGAUAAUGGA